UCCUACCACUGAAAGGAUGUGCGGGUAGAAAUGAGCAAUUGCAACUAGAAGAGCCUGUGUGCCCACAAUCAGGGGUGAGGAGGAGUGUCAUGGAGCAGCUCUCUACUGCCCUGAGAAUGACAUCCCCACUGUUCACCAUGGCCUUAAAUCCCCUGCGAAUUCCACCUCAUCCUCUGCCACUUCCCGUCACUGCUCUGAAGAUGCCCUGAUCUUGUUUCAGUCCCUUGGAUGUACCCAGCUCUUCUCCAUCUUUGCAUGUGUCAUAGCCUCUUCCUGGAAAACCCUUCCUGCUGCUCAUCCCAGAACUGACUCUCCAUGUAUUUACUCUUAUUUUGAGAGAAGGGGGCAUUUCCACCACCAGAAGGGAACUUGCUAUCUUGGUAGCGUUGUCCCCUGACACCUGGCACAUCUACUCUAUACAGUCACCAUUCAAGUGGAUGUUGAAUGAGUACACUUGUUUCACAGUUUGGUUGGGUGCAGCAGCUCACACCUGUAAUCCCAGCUCUUUGGGAGGCCAGGCAGUGGGACCACUUGAUGCCAGGAGUUCAAGAGCAGCCUGGCCAACAUGGUGAAAACCCAUCUCUACUAAAAAUAAAAAAAUUAGCCAGACAUGGUGGCACGCACCUGUAGUCCCAGCUACUCGGGAGGCUGAGGAAGGAGAAUUGCUUGAACCUGGGAGGUGGAGGUUGCAGUGAGCCAAGAUCAUGCCACUGCACUCCAGCCUGGACAAUAGAGCAAGACUCUAUCUCAAAAAAAAAAAAAAAAAGUAAAAAAAAAGAACAUUUCUUCUCUCCUGGACCCAGAAGCACCUUCCAGACAUGAAUCCAGGAAGUAGGAAUGAGAGCUGCCACUGCAGGGUAGAAAAUGCAAGUAAACCUUAUACGAGAUGUAACACCCAGGCAGGGUGAGCCUCAGGAAAUGGGAACGCUCCAAUGGCACGGCUCAUCUGGACUGGGCCACUCUGAGUGCCAGAAUUUGUAUAACGUUUUAGAUUUGCUUAGAUAUAGGAAUAUACAAGAAGGAGAAUAUAUAAGAGGAUUUAGCGGUGGUUAUUUCUGAGAAACAGGGAGUACAUGUAGUUUUGGGUUUUUUUCUUAGCUGGAUUUUUUUAAGUUUCUAAAAUGAACAUGAUUUACUUUUGGAAUUUUUAAAAAAGCAUUGAACAUUUAAAAUUUUUUAAAUAAUAGGCACUCAUUAAGCAAAAAAAUUAUAAAACAGUGAAGUUACAAAGGAGGAAGAAAACUGUUCAAAUCUACUGUUUAUGUUUGGGGUUUUUAAAAAUUGUAUUAAAAAAAUAAACUGGUUUGUCUUAUUUAGCAUAGCUAUAAUGAUACUGUAUAUAAAAUAUUUUUGCUUGCAUUCUUCAACUUAUUUCAUUAUAAGUACUUUCCAUGUUAUUACUUAGUCUUUACAGCACUAUUUUAACUUGCAAAUAACAUUCUGUUGAAAUAUCACGGUUCGACUUUUACUUCUGUCCUCAACAGGAGACAUAUAUGUUCUUUCCAAUGUUUCAUGGUUACAAGCUGCCCUUAGCAUGUCAUGCCAUAGAGUUUAGAUUAUAUUCUUAAGGCAAUGGGAAGUCACUGACAGAUGCUAAGCAGCCAAGUAAUGUCAUUGAGUUUUCAUUUAAGAAAGUUCUUCUGGGCUUUCUGAGAAGAUUAGUUGGCUAAGGUAAGGCUGAAGGUAGGGAGAACAAGAAAGCUGAGACUGAAGCUGAAACUCCCCAGACCUCUCAUCUCACAGAAAUUGAUACUCACAGUGCCAGUCUU